UACGUAGGAUCCAAGCGUUAUCCGGAAUUACUGGGCGUAAAGCGUACGUAGGUGGAUGUUUAAGUGAGAUGCGAAAUCUGGCGGCUCAACCGUCUAGACUGUGUCUCAUACUGGGCAUCUUGAGGUUGGCAGAGGCAAGUGGAAUUUCCGGUGUAGCAGUGAAAUGACGUAGAUAUCGGAAGGAACACCAAUGGCGAAAGCACUCUGCUGGGCCGACACUGACACUGAGAGACGAAAGCUAGGGGAGCGAAUGGG
rnacentral:rRNA from 1 species